ensembl:rRNA 5S_rRNA 5S ribosomal RNA
GCCUAUGGCCAUACUGGACCAAACGCCCCCUAUCUCAGCAGGUAAAUCGUCCCGGGCCUGGCUAGUACUUGGAUGGGUGACCCCCUGGGAAUCCCAGGUGCCGAAAGCA